rnacentral:rRNA from 1 species
CCUGGUUGAUCCUGCCAGUUGUCAUAUGCUUGUUUCAAGGAUUAAGCCAUGCAAAUGUGAGAGGAGGUGCGCUUCGGCGCAGCCGGGUCUGUGUACGGCUCAUUAAAAGCUUAAUGAUCUACCCAACGAAGAAAGGACUUGUGCCUUUCCGACGGGAUAACCGUGCUAACUGCACGGCUAAUACCUGGUAGAAGAUUCUGCCGGCGGGAAGCCGCGUGUGCCGGGAGACCGGGGUGCGCGGUGCCGGCGGAAGCUGUUGGCCGAAAAGCGGGCCGGGGUCGGCAAGGCCGGCGCGGUCGCGAGAGCCGAGGCAGGCCAACGAAGCGGAAGCGCGCGGGGUCUCCGUGCGCGGCGUUGGACGAGUUCAGCACCUAUCAGGCGGAAGCUAAGGUAGUGGCCUAGCUUACCUAUCACGGGUAACGGGGGAUUGGGGUUCGAUUCCGGAGAGGGUGCCUGAGAGACGGCAACCAUGACUAUGGUCAGCAGCAGGCGCGCAAAUUGCCCAAUGCUAACGCAAGAACUAGCGAGGCAGCGACGAAAAAUAGCAGACCUGGCGGGGUGACUCGCCAGGGCCUGCCAUGGGCAGUAUAUAAGAUACACUGCGUAAAACCAUUGGAGGGCAAGUCUGGUGCCAGCAGCCGCGGUAAUUCCAGCUCCAAGAGCGUAUAUGAAUGUUGUUGCGUUUAAAAAGCCCGUAGUUGGAUUUGGGAUGCGGCCGAGAGGGAUGCCUGGGGAUGUGGAUGCUCAGUCGUCUGCGUCCUCGGGGCCCUGCAGCGGCGCGCGUCUGAGGCAUGCGGGGGCGGAGGCCACACAUCAACGGAGGAAGUCGGUGCGGGAUGCCUCGAGAGGGCGCCCGCGGAUACUCCGUGGUCUGCCCGCAGCUGUCACUGUGAGCAAACCAUAGUGCUCAAGGCAACCGGGACUCGGUUGAGUGUUCAAGCAUGGAAUGACAAGGGAUCCACCUCCGGGUGCGUCGGGCCGGUUCGCACGCGCCGAGGAGGAGAAAGCGCCGCGACGAAGCGCAAGCCCGUCUUGCGUGGCUCUUGCGGCCGGGGAUGAAUAGGAACACGGGGGGCCCUCGCUACUGGCGGGCUAGCGGUGAAAUGCUCAGACCCCGCCAAGAGCGACGUCGGCGAAGGCAGUGGGCUAUCGUGCUUUCAUUAAUCAAGGACGAGAGAUGCGGGAUCGAAGAGGAUUAGAGACCCUCGUAGUCGCUUCUGUAAACGAUGCAGGCUCGGGAUUGGCCACAAUACGACGAGGUAUGUGGUCAGGACCGGAGACACUCUCACCGGGAAACCAAAGCUUAUGUGUUUCGGGGGGAGUAUAGUCGCAAGGCUGAAACUUAAAGGAAUUGACGGAGAACCACCACAAGGCGUGGAGUGUGCGGCUUAAUUCGACUCAACGCGGGGAAUCCUACCAGGUCAGGACGCGGAAGUGAUUGCCAGGCUGAGAGACCUUGCAUGAUUACGCGAAGGGUAGUGCAUGGCCGCUUCUGGUUGGUGAAGUGAUUUGUCUGCUUAAUUGCGAUAACGAACGAGAUCUCUGCCAAUAAAAAGACGGCGGCUCCGCAGGCGUGGGGCGAUACACCUCCUGCUCCUUCUCGGGGGUGGGUGGUCCGUCCCCCACGCUGGAGUACGCAGAAAGAGCACCCUUGCUUCUGCGGGGUGCAGGUUACUUAUUGGGAUUAUGCAAGAAUUAGAUUGCAUUGAGACGAGAGCCCAAAGCAGGUCUGUGAUGCUCCUUACAUGUUCUGGGCUGCACGCGCACUACACUGGCUCAUGCAGCGAGAGUCUGCUGGGCACCCCCGUCCCAUUGCGGUCGGGGGCACUGGCAGCCUGCCCUGAAGAGGGUGGGGAAGCUUUUGAGGCUGAGCCGUGCUGGGGAUUGAUGAUUGUAAUUAUUCGUCAUGAACGAGGAAUGCCUUGUAUUCGCGCUUCAUCAGAGCGCAAAGAAUACGUCCCUGGUUCUUGUACACACCGCCCGUCGCUGUCUGUGAUGGGCUGCACGGUAGAGCUCUUCCGAGGGCCGCGGGCGGGGCGACUCGGCUGCGGCCCGACGUUGAGCGAUACCUGGAGCCUAGAAGAGACAGAAGUCGUAACAAGGUACUUGUAGGGGAACCUGCAUGUGG